rnacentral:rRNA from 1 species
GAUGAACGCUGACAGAAUGCUUAACACAUGCAAGUCUACUUGAACUUCGGUUUGGGUGGCGGACGGGUGAGUAACGCGUAAAGAACUUGCCUCACAGUUAGGGACAACAUUUGGAAACGAAUGCUAAUACCUGAUAUUAUGAUUUUAGGGCAUCCUAAGAUUAUGAAAGCUAUAUGCGCUGUGAGAGAGCUUUGCGUCCCAUUAGCUAGUUGGAGAGGUAACGGCUCACCAAGGCGAUGAUGGGUAGCCGGCCUGAGAGGGUGAACGGCCACAAGGGGACUGAGACACGGCCCUUACUCCUACGGGAGGCAGCAGUGGGGAAUAUUGGACAAUGGACCAAAAGUCUGAUCCAGCAAUUCUGUGUGCACGAUGACGUUUUUCGGAAUGUAAAGUGCUUUCAGUUGGGAAGAAAAAAAUGACGGUACCAACAGAAGAAGUGACGGCUAAAUACGUGCCAGCAGCCGCGGUAAUACGUAUGUCACAAGCGUUAUCCGGAUUUAUUGGGCGUAAAGCGCGUCUAGGUGGUUAUGUAAGUCUGAUGUGAAAAUGCAGGGCUCAACUCUGUAUUGCGUUGGAAACUGCAUGACUAGAGUACUGGAGAGGUAAGCGGAACUACAAGUGUAGAGGUGAAAUUCGUAGAUAUUUGUAGGAAUGCCGAUGGGGAAGCCAGCUUACUGGACAGAUACUGACGCUAAAGCGCGAAAGCGUGGGUAGCAAACAGGAUUAGAUACCCUGGUAGUCCACGCCGUAAACGAUGAUUACUAGGUGUUGGGGGUCGAACCUCAGCGCCCAAGCUAACGCGAUAAGUAAUCCGCCUGGGGAGUACGUACGCAAGUAUGAAACUCAAAGGAAUUGACGGGGACCCGCACAAGCGGUGGAGCAUGUGGUUUAAUUCGACGCAACGCGAGGAACCUUACCAGCGUUUGACAUCUUAGGAAUGAGACAGAGAUGUUUCAGUGUCC